rnacentral:rRNA from 1 species
UACGGAGGAGGCAAGCGUUAUCCGGAAUUAUUGGGCGUAAAGCGUCCUCAGGUGGCAGUUCAAGUCUGCUGUCAAAGACCGGGGCUUAACUUCGGAAAGGCAGUGGAAACUGAACAGCUAGUGUAUGGUAGGGGCAGAGGGAAUUCCUGGUGUAGCGGUGAAAUGCGUAGAGAUCAGGAAGAACAUCGGUGGCGAAGGCGCUCUGCUGGACCAUAACUGACACUCAGGGACGAAAGCUAGGGGAGCGAAUGGG